GCCUUGUUGAUGCAGAGUCGAAUCCGUGGCUACUGCAGUUUUACCGGUCUGCCUGUCCCCAAUAAUUAAUUCUCGCUGACCACGUCCGAUAG